AUAAAGACGUCGUCAUCUCCCAUGGGUCAUUAGACUACUGGUCCACCCCAAACUUCCCUCAAGAUUAUCCAGAGGGCGUCACCUGUACCCUGACAGUGACGAUCCCCAAGUCACUACAGUCGGGUUUUGCAGAGAUUAAGGUGGUGGAGGGAGGCAUUAUCUUCAAAACAAAGGACUGUCAACAUGACGUUCUGCUGGAGGACUCACGCAUAAGACACUGUGGUAACAUACAGGAAAAGAAGUGGAGUCUUCUCACCACGUACGACGCCCCUAAGACGAAGACGUUUGUGUUCUCUUCUUCAGACAAAGAUGGUUCAGCUGCGCAAGGCUUCAAAUUAUCCAUCACAGGAGUCAAUCUUGAGCGCUAAUGUUCAAGAACUCACACCGAGUUGUGUUUCUGCCAACUGUUUAUCAGACUACCUGAGGAACCGCACUUUAUGGCUAGAGUAUUGUGCACGGUAAGAAGAAAUCAAACCUCUUCAUGAUAUCAAGAGGAGUGUUUGAGAAACUCCUAAAAUACAGGAUCUCUUUUGAAAUAAAAUGGAUGACGUUUUAUACCCACCUCAGAUCGAGCUAGUGCUUGUUGAGGGAGAGGAAAAACACUGGGCAACUUUAAGAAUAAUCAUAAUGAAACUACAAAUGUGAUAAGAGAAGACCAUACAGAGGAGUCAUUGACCUUCGCUUCGUAGAGCCUCCCCCCCCCUCCCUCCCUAUCCAAAAAAAAAAAAAAUAAGCCUGUUUGAUAAUUUGCGAUGAUAUGCAUGUUCCCAAUUACUGGCCAGCCCUUUCCUUUAUUUAUAUUUUUACGGGAAAUAGCCAACCCGGGCACAGGUCAUCGACCCACAACGGGGCCUAGGGGGCGAAAAAAUAAGAGUAAAAAGAAAAAAACAUAAAUGAAAAAGAUUAUCCUAAUUUUUACCACUUAGAUGACGGAAAACCUAUAUUUAACGUACAUUUAUUUUACAUUACCCUUUCCUUCUUUCCUUAUGUUUUGAACCACCCCGAGGCAAAAAUUGGAAUUGGAGAAAAAAUAAUAGACCUGUAAAUAUAUAAAUCUCCAGUUUAAUAAGUGGACCGUAACUACUCGGCCUCAAAACCUGGAAUACAUAUUCACCUUAACCCCCUAUUCACCAAUCGCCAUGUAUAUUUUUUUAUUUCUGUUCUCACCUGCGGAGUUUACUUACUUCAUGAUAUGUGUAAAUCUGUGUAGUAAUAUUGUGCGAGGACUGGAACACGUCUCAACACAGGAAUAUUUGUA